rnacentral:piRNA from 1 species
UGCAUGGAAAAUAGAUACGACUUUCCAAUG